CUUAGAAAUAGAAUUUAAGGUCUAAUCUGCCCACUGAAUAUUUAAAUGGCCGCAGUAAUUUGACUGUGCAAAGGUAGCAUAAUCAUUAGUUUUUUAAUUAAAAGCUUGAAUGAAUGAUUGGACGAGAUAAAAUCUGUCUUAAAUUAAAGUAUAGAAUUUAAUUUUUAAGUAAAAAAGCUUAAAUAUUUAUAAAAGACGAGAAGACCCUAUAGAUCUUUAUAUGGAUUUAUAUAUUUUUAAUUAGGAUUAUUUUAAAAGUUAUGUAAAAUUAUAUUUUAUUGGGGUAAUAAAAAGAUUAAAAUAAUUCUUUAUCUAUUUUACAUUUAUUAGUGAUUAUUUGAUCCUUUAUUAUGGAUUUAAGAUUAAGUUACCUUAGGGAUAACAGCGUAAUUUUUUUAGAGAGUUCUUAUCGAUAAAAAAGUUUGCGACCUCGAUGUUGGAUUAAAAUUAAUUUUAGGUGUAGUAGUUUAAAAUUUUGGUCUGUUCGACCAUUAAAUUUUUACAUGAUCUGAGUUCAGACCGGCGUAAGCCAGGUCGGUUUCUAUCUUUAUUAGAAUAAAAUAUUUUAGUACGAAAGGAUYAAAUAUUAAAUAUAAUUAUAUUUAUUUAUAGUUUUGAAUAUUA
rnacentral:rRNA from 1 species